UACGUAGGGACCAAGCGUUGUUCGGAUUUACUGGGCGUAAAGGGCGCGUAGGCGGCGUGGUAAGUCACUUGUGAAAUCUCUGAGCUUAACUCAGAACGGCCAAGUGAUACUGCAGUGCUAGAGUGUGGAAGGGGCAAUCGGAAUUCUUGGUGUAGCGGUGAAAUGCGUAGAUAUCAAGAGGAACACCGGUGGCGAAGGCGGAUCUCUGGGCCUUGCCUGACGCUGAGGCGCGAAAGCCAGGGGAGCGAACGGG
rnacentral:rRNA from 1 species